CAAUGCUGACGAGUCCCACAAUAGGACGAAACGGCCGUCCAGUGC
rnacentral:hammerhead_ribozyme from 1 species